AUUGAACGCUGGCGGCAUGCUUUACACAUGCAAGUCGGACGAGUGGCGAACGUGUGAGUAAUAUAUCGGACCGUACCUGGUAAUUGAGGAUAACUAAUCGACAGAUUAGCUACUAACGCCUAUUAUUCGCGCGGCCGAUAUCUGAUUAGCUAGUGGGUGGGGUAAAGGCCUACCAAGGCGACGAUCAGUAGCGGGUCUGAGAGGAUGAUCAGCCACACUGGGACUGAGACACGGCCCAGACUCCUACGGGAGGCAGCAGUGGGGAAUUUUGGACAAUGGGCGCAAGCCUGAUACAGCCAUGCCGCGUGUCUGAAGAAGGCCUUCGGGUUGUAAAGGACUUUUGGCAGGGAAGCGGUACCUGAAGAAUAAGCACCGGCUAACUACGUGCCAGCAGCCGCGGUAAUUC
rnacentral:rRNA from 1 species